rnacentral:lncRNA from 1 species
AGAGGAAAGCACACUGCUAAGAUAAAUCCUUGAGACACAUCCACAAUGGCACACUUUCUCCAGCUAGCUUCUGCCUUCUAGUAGCCCAUUUAACCAAUCAACUGAUUAAUCAACUGAUAAAAUUAGUGCCCUCAUUAACACUGCUAGUCCUUCGACACAUGAACGUUUGAAGGACAGUUCACUUUUAAGCCACAACGUGGCUCAUUCUCCAACAUUAGUGCCAUCUGUCAGACUGACUACUACUUCAGUAUGUUUCUUUGUACUCCCCUCUCAUAAAUAUUUUUUCCAGAAAUCUUAUGAGUACCUGAGACCAUUGUGCUUAUUUACUUUUUAAAAUAUUAUUCCAUUGUUAGGCAUAGUAGACAAAACAUUAUUCAUGGAGUUAGGCAAGUAUCUGGAUUAUUUUUGAUAGAUUGAAGAAUGAGUAACACUCCUGUAAUCCUUGAGAGACUCUGGCCAGUAGAGAAAAAUGCUUUGGAAACCAUUUGCCUUAAAGGAAAGAUAGGAGCAUGUUUGAUCUGUUUCCCAAGUCUCUAGUUUAUCAAGCACUGGCUAUCAAAACAAAUGUUGAAGUAGAAACUAUGUUCAAGAGAAAGAGACUGUUGGAAGGUUUGUCACAGUGAUACCAUCCAUGCACUGAGUCCAAGUUACUGGCAAAAAGAGCUUCCCAUUAAUUCUUUCGUGUCAUCCAGGAAGUAAAUCUUGUAGGGUACAGUUCAUGAGAGUCAAACAUGGAAUUGAAAUCAAUUCUAUACUAGAAUUAACACCAGGAUGAGGCUCUGACAGAACGUAGCAGAAUUCUUGCUGAGCCCAGAGGUGAAAGAAGAUACAGGAAGCAGGGCAUGGAGUCUGAAACCAGCUCAGCAGAAACAGGUAAAUGUGAGUUCAUGUGCUGACUGGCCUCUCGGAAAUCACACCCAUAGUCCACUAGGAUAUGAGGAUCUGCUGUUGGUCCUGUGUGAUAAAAUCCUACUUUCAUCACGAUCAAUGGAAAAAAAAAAUCACAUCAAAUCUUUUUUUCUUUUUUAAGUUACAGUAGAAGAAAGAACUAUAGACUAUCAUUCAUUGGCCAUGGACCUCCAUCAUUGAAGAAGCCAUCUAAGAUCCCAUGUACUGUAAAGGAAGCCUUGAGAGGCAUAGCUAAGAUUGGAUGUAAUGGCAUGUGGAACAGUUUAAGCAGUCAAUGACCUUUUAUUUUUCUUUCAACUCCAAUAUAGUCAGCAGAGUAUAAACAAGAUGAGAAUUCAGCAGAACACAUGUAUUAUAAUUGAUUGACAAAAUAAAGAUGAUUUCUGCUAAGACUAGUGUAAGUAUGAAUUUGAGAAUUUAAAGGUUUUUUUUUGGGGGCGGGGGGAGGAGAAUUUCAAAUGAGGAAAAUGUAUUUGAAUAGGCCCAAAAUUGACACUUUCUUUUCUAAUAAUUAAUUAAUUUUUAUAAUAAAAUAACUGCCAUGAAUAUGAUAAUAUAAAUCUAUUAUUAUCUGUAUUAGUUGCCUUUCUGGUUUUGAUACAAACAGCUGAAAGAAGCAAUUUAAGGAAGAAAAUUUAUUUCCCAGGGCUGGGAUCAGGGAGAGACAAAAAUGGAGAGAAGCAGAGAUGUAAACAGACAGAGAGGGAGAAAGACAGAGACAGAAGAGAGAGAGACAGAAAUGUAAAGAGACAGAGAGAGACUGUGAGGAAAAGGUUAACACAGAACCUGCCUAUGGUUCCUAACUUAUAUCUCCUGUGAGCAACUCCAGUUUUCAACAUAGGCCUCGAAUCCUAAAGCCUCCAUAGUCUUUCCAUUGGUAACAUCAGCUGGGGAUCUACAUGAGCGUUGACGCUACAUUUCCUACUUGAACAAUGACAUCACCUAACUUCUUCACAACAGACUCAAGAGCUCUACCAUCCGCAAUGGCUAGAACAAGGGUCAGCACACACUGAGGACUGACCAACUAUUCUGUUAAAGGCAUGCAGGGUUGGAGAAUUCGUGUUUGUUUGUUUUAAAUUAUGCUUGAGAGAAUUUGGUUAGUGCUAAGGGAUUUGGGCUGAUCACUUUAGGAGAGGAAGAUCAAAAGGAUGAAUUCAUUUAGCUUCGGUUUCACUUUAUUAGUUUCAGGAAUGUUUUAUUGUGUCACUCGCUGUACACAGGGUGCUAUGUUAUAUGAGAAUAUUUUCACACUUGUAUGUACUGUACAUUGAGCGUAUUGCCCACACAUGUUCAAACACUGCCUUUCUUCCUUCUCUUCCUCCUAUUAAUCCCGCUUUCUCUAGAAAGUUUCACUUCUACUUUUGUGUCAAAUACAUACUUGAUCUUAUGUAUCUAUCUAAAAAUCUAGAAUCUACAACUGAGAAAACAUAUUUUCGGAGACUGGUUUAAGUCACUUUAUAUGAUCUAUUGUCCUAGUUAUAUACAUUUUCUUGCAACUAAUAUAGUUUUGGCUUCUUUGUGGCUAAAGAAACUCCACUGUACUAGUGUAUGACAUUUUCUUUUCCAUCCCUCUGUUAAUGGACACAUAGGAUGACCCCGUAGCUCAGCUGUUGUGAACAGUGCUGUGGUACACAUUAAUGUGCAGAUGUCUCUGUGAGGUUGAUUUGGAACGCUCAUGGAAACCCCCCAGGACUGGAUGGCUGGUCAUUUUCAGACCUUCUUUUAGGUUUUUGAGGAACAUCCAGAUUGUUUUCCAUGUGUGGCUAGACUAGUUUACCUUCUCACCAAUCAUGUAUAAGGGCCCACUUUGUCCAUAUAUUUAUCAACAUUUAUGCUCUUAAUGAUGAAGAUUCCAUCUAGGGUGAGAUGUAGCUUUAAGGUCUGUUUCUCUGAUGGCUAGUAAGGCUGAAUAUUUUUGUGCAUUUACAGUCACUUAUUCAUUUAACAAGAACUGUACAUUUAGUACCUGAAUUGUUUGAUAUUUUUAAAGCUAUUUUUUAUUCUAGUUGUUUACCUUCUAUCAGAUAAGUAACUAUUCAAGAUUUUGUUCCAUUUGUAAGCUGUUUCUUCACUGAAUUAGCUACACUGAAACUUUUUAAUUUCAAAAGGUCGCAUUUGUCAAUUGCUGGCAUUAUUAAAUUCUUUUCUUGUAUCGGCAGUGGAUUGUUGCAUUGUGAUGAUUGUUAUCGACACUACUGUGCGUUUAAAUGUACUGUAUGUGCUGAAUAAAUCACAUUUCUGAAAAUACUUUUUAAAGAAAUCAUACAUAAUUUUCAUAAUCCCCAGGUGAGACCAAAGUUAUUAUUUAUUUUUGUUAUAUUUAUUUCAGAAUGGUGCAUUUAAAUAAUCUAUUUUCUCCUCUCAAUUUUGAUAUGGUUACAACUUUUUUUUAUCUGCUUCUGAUGAAAUGUGGCCACCUAAGAGCGACAUGCGUGCUCAAAGAGAGGAUGAACAGGAUACAGAAAUCAAGAUUUGGGGAGGAAAAUAUCAAAAGCUAGUACAAAGAUCUUGAAUAGGGCCACUAAACAGCAACCAUAUCUUCUGGAAUUAUAAGCUUAAAAACAGCGGCUCACUCUGGGUAAUGUUAGUUGUAUGUAGGUUUCCAAGAUUAAUUAUUCGGUAUUGGAUAACCAAUUGGUAUGAUCUUCGCUAACAAAGACUAUUUCUCCUGAUCUUGGCAUUCCUUAGCCUCCUGUAGUUCUCUGUUCAAGGUUGAAACCUCAUGGCUCCCGUCCACUUUGAUGAUAGUGUUGUCUUUGUUCAGCUCAUGUUUGGGUAGUCAUGUUGGUGAUCCUUUAUAGGUAUAGCUUCCAAUGUUGUUAGGAGACAGAAUCUCACAGCAGACUCCUUGAUUGUUGGCUCUUAAAUCUAUGUGCCCUUCUGUACUGUUCUCUGAGCCAUUGGUGUUGGAGUGAUUUGUAGAUGUAUGAAUAUGCAUAUAUAUCAACAAUUAAUAUACUAACUAUAUAUAUGAUACAUAUAUAUAUAUGUAUAUAUGAACAAUUAGUGAAAAAAGCUGACACAAAUUUGAAAGAGAGCAAGGGUGUAUGUGGAAGAAAUUGAAAGAAGGAAAGAGAAGGGAGCAACAUUGUAUUAUAUUACCUUAAAAAUAAGUAAAAAAACAUGAAAUUUGGAGACUUAGAUAAAUAGUGAGUGCGUUUACAGUGCAAUAUGUGCUGCUUUCUAUAUGGAAAAUGAAGAUAUUUGCAUCUUCACUGGAUACAGUAUUGGAAUGAUACAGCCAAAAUCAAAGAUUACUCUAUUCAUAAUUUAACUUAUUUUAUUGUAUUAAUGUGUGAUCAUCAGGCAGAGGUUGUUCCUCCCUAUUUAAUCUACACCCUCAAGUUUGUAGGUAAGUAGCUACCCAUGAAACCUUUAUCAUAAUCUAUGCUGUACAAACAGCUGUUAUUUCCUAAGCUUUCCUUCCAUUCUCUUUUAUUUGUGGCCAGCGUGUUUUGCAGGAACACUUAGCAUAAAUCUCAACCACCUACAGUACUAUGGCUAGCCUGAGAAAGAGGAGGAGGUUAAAGGGUGCUAAGUUUCAGUUGUACUAGAUGAGCAAGUUUUAGAGGUAUGCCACACUCACAGUUAAUAAUACUAGGUGUCUACUGUUUUCAACAAAGGGAUUUUAUGUUGAAUCUGUAAGAAUAUAAAGGCCACACUUUGUCCAGAGCUCUGUAGGGAAGCACAAUGCAUCCCAGAGACCCUUGAGGACCAGCCUGGGAACCGACGCUCUUGGUUACUUUGGGAAUCCCUGAUAUCCACUGAUGAGACAGUGUUCUCCUGCCCCACUGUUGACAAAACACACGGGUUGCUUAGAACCCCUGCUCAGGUUCUCUAGCUUCAUAAGGUGACAUCUUAAAGCAGCUGUUAUCAACCUUCCUAAUGUGGUAACCUUUGAAUACAGUUCCUCAUGCUGUGGUGACCCCAAGCAUAAAAUUAUUUUCAUUGCUACUUUGUAACAGUAGUUUUGCUACUAUCUUGGAUAACAAUGUAAAUAUCUGUGUUUUCCUGUGAAAGGGUCUUUCAACCCCCUCAAGGGAUUAUGAACCAAAGGUUGAAAACCACUGCCUUAAAGUGUAUGUUUAUCAUGGAUUUAAUGGUAUAUUGACCCAGCAAUUGCCUUCUUAUCUCCACAGGUGUGGGUCAGCAUCUCAUACUAUUUUCAUGGGCAGCCUGGAGUUCACUUCGUGAAGGAUGACCUUGGACUCCUGAUUGUCCACGCCUCCACCUUCAAACUACUGAGUUUAUAAGUGUGUACCACAACACUUUACAAAAUUUUAAAAUUUUAAAAAUUUAAAAGCACCCAGUUUUCUGCAUUAAAUAUGAUGCUUUCUCUCUGUCUCUGUCUCUCUGUGUGUAUCUCUCUCUUUAAACCUCUCUGCCUCUGUCUGUCUCUCUGUCUCUCUGUCUGUCUCUGUCUCUCUGUCUCUCUGUCUCUGUCUCUGUCUCUCUGUCUCUCUCUGUCUCUCUCUCUCUCUCUCUCUCUCUCCUACAGAGCACUGAUACUUUGGCCUUGUUCUAGAAUGAC